UUUAAGUUUUAGGGUGCUAAUCAAAUUAUAUACCUAUUAUUUAAGAUAUAUACACAUAUAUACAUAUUUCUUUUUCCUACCUAAGGGUAGGUCCGUCUCUGGAUUCAUGACCCUUAGGCCCAGUGGAGUAAGCAAGAGUUUGUUCUGAGUCGUGUGUGCCUAUUAUCGUAACUUAUGUUUGUAUUUAGUGUUUGGUGUGGAGCAGUAGAGGUUCUAAAACUAUACUACUUCUCUUAUAUUGCUUUUUUUUUUUGUUGGAAUCCCAGGAAAUUUCGCAACCGCUACAGUUUUUGCCACAACUUUGGCCCUUUGAGUGAGCACUCUAUGGCGAGUGCGCACUAGGGUGUCUCCUUAGGCCUACAGGGUCCCAUUGGAUAGUGCAAAUAACCAGGAUUAGAACAGUUCAGGAUAUGCUCAUAAUUGCUUAUGGUGGAGUUACUUGAGCUUAGCAAUGGAAAAAUCAUUCCUACUUGAUUCAAGGACCUCUUUCUCGUGAAGGAUUUUCUGAGUUUUAUAAACACUAGUAGUGCAGUUGCCUUUGAUAAUAAAUGUUGACGGUGUUGAAAUGUUAAAUUUAUUAUUUUGACUUCUCUAAUGCAGCUUGAUUUCAAGA